CCGUGUGGUGGAGCGCUUGCUUUCCUAUAGCUUGUCCUAUUCUGGGAAGUUGUGGAGCCCAUGUGAGGCGGGCUUAUCUGGAGGAACUGUACCACUUGGGGAUGGAGACCUGUCCAUACAGUGUCACCAGACACCUAACAACCCAGCUGCCUAAGCAACAGAUGCUCCCACUCCCGGGACUCCUGUGCCUCUUCAGAGCCUACAGGAGUCCACACAAAGCCUUCCUCCCUGCGGGUGCUAUUUGUCAGAGAUUUGGUCACAGCCAUGAGGAAAAGUCACUGUUACAGUGGUUGUGGGACAGAAGUGAGAAAAGCCACGGUGGGUUGUGCCAAGCCAUGAUUGGUCCAUUUCUUGUGACCUCACAAGGAGCCAAUUCUGAGGAAUGCUGAGCACGAGUCCACAUAAGGUGCCACCUGGGCAGGGCCUGUCCUCUUAUUGCAGAGACACUGCUGGUUGGCUGCAGAGCAGGAUUGUAAUGUUGGCUAUGAUGGGCUUGGGCAACUCCAAACUGCUGACCCUUGACAGAGAAUUUGUCUCCUAGCUUGUUGGUUUUGUUUUCUGGUUUUAGUUUUCAUGGUUCACUUUUCUGUUUAUAUUAUUGGUUCCUGUUUUAAGAUUAAUUUGUGCCUAUUUUUCUUCAUUAUUACCCAUUCUCAUUUUUGAAACUCAAAUUUUGUUAUUUUUUAUUUCAUUUUUCUUAUUUUAAAACACCUUUUAGUAUAUAUUAGCCAUAAGGAAUUUCAUUAUAACAUUUCCAUACCUGACAACACUACACUAUGAUCACGCCUCCUGCUCUGCUUCAUGUCCCCAGUCACAUCUGUGCCACUGACACCCCCCCUUUUACUGAACUAGAACCCACUCCCUGCUUAUGACCCAUAGAACAAAACAGAAACAUUACACAUUGAUGGGACUGUUUCAUGUCAAACUGUUUCUAGAUUCAUCUACUUUCCUGAAAAUGGCAACAGCUCAUCCCUCAUUGUGGCUGAGCAGGGGACUCCUCCCCAAGUCUGUUUAUAAGCUAUGUUGCCAGUCAGUUUGUGUACAUGUACUUAUCCUUGUAAUCCUGGGAGAAGCCAUUUGGAUGGUGAAGGGAGGUUUUAGUGUGUUGUUGAAUUGGAUGUGAGGUAUCAAGUGCUCUCAUUAAUGAUAUUCACAUCUUUGUCCAAGGAAAUUGGCCUAUUCGGGUUUAUGUGCUUAUUUGAUUUUGGGAGCAGGGUAAUACUAGCUUUGUGAUGGGUUUGAGGGUGUUCUUUACUGUCUCUUUUAUGAGAUAUUUUCAGGACCAUUGGCGAUCAUUCUUCUCUAAGGUCUGGUAGAUUCAGUGAAUCCAGGACUCCUGGGCUCUUCUUUGUUGGAAGCUAUUUUUAUUACUAGUUUAUUGUUGCUGCUUAUUAUUGACCUGUUCAAGUCUUUUGAUUUCAUAUUAUUUCAAUAUCCACAUAAGUCUAGCAAUUUCUUUCAUGUUUUCUAACUUAACAGUAUAAAAACCUCAAAAUAUUAAUGAUCGUUUGUGUCUAGUGAAACAUCACUUUUUGCCUCUAAUUUGUGUCUUAUCUUUCUUGGUUAAUUUGGGUAAGGGUUUGCCAGUUUUGUUUGUCCUUGCAAAUAAGCACCUUUUUGUUUUUCUGUCUCUGUGUUGCCCUUUGAAUAUCCAUUUCAUUGAUUCCAUCUCUGCUCUUCACUAUGCUUUUUCAUCUAUUGCUGUGGGGUUUGCAUUGUUCUUAUUUUCUAUGACCUUGAGGUGCAUCAUUAGGUUGUUUGGAGUAUCUCAGAUUUUAUGCUGUAGAAUUCAUAACUAUAAACUUCUAACCUGCUUUCUAUUUCUUCCUAGCAUCAUGUGGUACUACUGUUUCUCAUAAUAAAGUGGUUGAGAUGGAGGCAAUCCUCAUGGCCAGCCCCAUGAAGAGGGCAUCCUUCAAAAUGAUUACAAAAUCUACUGUCCCUGGGCUGUGGCACAUUUUGGAAGGCAAAGCUGGUGUGCCACAUUCUCACACAUACACAUAACUGUCGAGGCCCUUGAAAAAAGCAACAAUGACUUGUUGAAGCAGAAUUCAUAAAUCCUUAGAACAUUAUAAAAAUUUUUAUAUGAUCAAUAUACCAUUAACCACUUAUAUGACAAUGGAAUGUGUGGUGGGAGAAGACCCAGAGAGGUACCUUAGGGAGCUGGGCUGUAUACAAGGGAGGCACUACAAAUUUUCCAACAGGUCAUGUCAGUGGUUCACUUCCUCCACCAAAGACACAUCCACAGGAAUAUCAAAUUAGGAAAACAUUCUGGUGGAUGCAGUAGGAAAUGCAGAAAUUUGCCACUUCAGCAUGGCAGCUAAAUCCACAAAGGGCAGAUGUUGGGGAAGGUCUGUAGCUUCCUGCUCUACCUGGCCCCAGAUAUCUUGGCAGGAAAACUGUGUAACAGUGCAGCUGAUGUGGAGCUUGGGCAUCCUUUUCUGUGUCAUAGAGCACUUUCCAUACUUAGAAACAAGUCCUUCAGGUAUACACCAGCUCAUCACCAACACAAUGUAUUAUCUUCCCUGUCAUCUGUCCCAAACCAACCAAAUUAUUAUCGAAAGAUUAUAUUGGUACAUGAUAGUAGGUCAUCUCAUGGAACACCUAACAUGCCUAACACCCAGGGCUGCCUUGAGAAGAUGUCCUGCCUGGGUACCACAGACAUGGAAGGCAAUGUGACGACUGUUGACAUCAAUAGCAAUUUUCUGAGGGGCAUUGCAGUUACCAAGGCUUUGAGUGAUACUCUACCUGAUGAGCACUUCCCACCAGAGUCAGCCCCGGAUGCAACAACCACAGAGUUAAAUGAAAAAAAAAAAACAAAAACAAAAACAAAAAAAACAAGAGCUUGUGCCCUGUGGAAUCAUCAACAGGGCCAGCCAUGCCCAGUGACCAGGCUCAGGUUGAAUCUACAGGCUCUGGAUCCAAGUAACUAGGGCUGGAAGGGGACGAGGAGUCGAAUUUCUUGAGUAUGGAGAAGACUUUGCUGCUGCUGCCUGCCCACCCAAAGCUCCCUGCUCGCUCAGCCCAGCACUGCUUGCAACACAGAUAGGAGGUCUCACGUGACAUCUGCCUGAUGAAGGUCCACCUCCCCAGCUCCUGCAGAACACCUACUCCUGGAAGCAAAACUGACUGACAUACAGGUCUCGAGCUUCUCAUCUGCUUGGUCCCUUCAUCCCUUCGAUAUUCUCUCUCACUAACUCCUUUGGGACAGAAAUGGAUAAUCUAAGUACCUUCCAUGGCAGAUCCUGAUAUGCCAAAAAAGCGUGGGGCCAGAGGGCCAGAGUGGAAAGCCCGAUGACAGACCAGAUAGAUGGUUUUCCCCUCACCAAACCUCAAAGCCAGUUAGUGGCACCUUUCCCUCUGAGUCGGGGAGGCCUGCCAAAACCACUGUUCCCUUUUACUCACCCGGGCUAGUGUUAUGUCAAGACCAGACUUCAGAAACUCAUCUUUUACCACAAGCAGAUACUCAGUGGACUCAAAAUUACCGCCAAGUGCAAGAUGCCCUCAGAUGCUCCAGAAAACCUCCCUGAAGCAGCUCAGACUUGUCCCUUCAUGACCAGCACAGGAUGAUGUGAGAAGCCUCUAGAGUUUGAUUUUCUUCCCUGAAGAUCCUUUCUUGUGGUGCUGCUCUUAUAGAGAAGCCAAAUUUGAUUCUUGGAAAUCAGAUUUGAAAUGUGUCUGUCAAGGAGUAGCACUUGGCUUUAUGCUGCUAAGAGUGUGCCCCAUCCUGCACAUCCUCAUCCAGAAUGUGGAAUUACCUUCAGAGCCUCUGGAAAGGAGUCAUCAUGACUUUGACCCUGAAUGGGAAGGGCAGAAGGAUGCUAGAAUUGAGUUUAAGAUGCACAAAGGUCUAGGUUCUUCAGUUCCUGGUUUAAAAGCUAGACAAGCUCAGUCAUUAUGGAGAGGGACCCACUUCUGCUGAGUGGCUGCGUCAACAAGCACCGUGGCAGCAAGUGAAUCCUCUGAAAAUUAAGUUCGCACCGAAAGACAAGAUGGCCCAUUUGCAGACACAGAUGGGCAGUGUUCGUCCUCAGGGUUGGAAGGCGGCCCCACAUCGGCUAGAUGGCCUUCUGUACUAAGCACCAGUCCCAGGCCCACCAGAACCAGGUGGUAUUCCCAAUCUGCCCACAGCCCACGCAAGCCCAGACACAAGAAAUUAGCCAUCAUAAUAUUCUAUAUUUUUCUCUGGUGGUUUUGUGUCUUUAAGAAAUAUGUUUUUUUAAUCUGUAUACCUCAGAAAUUAUCAAGUAUCUUUACGUUAAAAUAGGAAACUAGAUCGUGUAUUUUUUCCCCACUGUUGUGUUUUUGUUUCAUGUAACUAUUAUGAUCCUCACAUAACUGUGAAUCACUGAAAUAGAUAAUAAAACUUCAUGGAGAACUUGUGA